AGAGCGAACGCUGGCGGCAGGCCUAAUACAUGCAAGUCGAACGGAUCCUUCGGGAUUAGUGGCGGACGGGUGAGUAACACGUGGGAACGUGCCCUUUGGUUCAGAACAACUCAGGGAAACUUGAGCUAAUACUGGAUAAGCCCUUCGGGGGAAAGAUUUAUCGCCAUUGGAGCGGCCCGCGUCUGAUUAGCUAGUUGGUAGGGUAAAGGCCUACCAAGGCUACGAUCAGUAGCUGGUCUGAGAGGAUGAUCAGCCACACUGGGACUGAGACACGGCCCAGACUCCUACGGGAGGCAGCAGUAGGGAAUCUGCGCAAUGGGCGAAAGCCUGACGCAGCCAUGCCGCGUGAAUGAUGAAGGUCUUAGGAUUGUAAAAUUCUUUCAGCGGGGACGAUAAUGACGGUACCCGCAGAAGAAGCCCCGGCUAACUUCGUGCCAGCAGCCGC
rnacentral:rRNA from 1 species